UAGUAUUACUACAUAUUCACACGUAUUUGUGAUCUAAUUGAGAAGAAAAAAAAGAUAUCGGGGAACUUUAUUCAUGUAAUGGUCGAACACUAAGAUAUGUUGGGUCCGUCGGAUGCAUUUAUGUGAAAGACUAGAUUUUAAUUUGCGGUGUACCGCGGGAACAAUUUAUUUUUUAAAGUUAGUAUAUAUAAAAGUUUACAAAUUGUAUCUAUUUAUAAAAUAUUUUUAUUUUAUAGUUUACAAAUAUUAUUAAAUAACGUCCUGUCAAACCCGUCCCGUAAAAAAACUCAUUUAUUUUAUUAAUGUUGAUCUUAUUUAUGAUAUGUUUAUGAAUCAUUGUCUAAAUAUUUUGUAAUUUUAUAGUAAUUAAAUGCUAUCAAAUUAUAUCUCUACGCUUUGAUGAUUAUAAUCGAAUUGUUAUAGUUAUGGAGAAAAGUAAUAUUAAAAAUGAUAAUUUUGUAAUAAUUAAAUGAUAUUAAAUAUUUUGGAAGUUUUAUUUUAGUAAAUAAUCGUGUAGUUAAUGUGGAGAGAUUUUAGGAAGAUUGUUAAAUGUCAAAUAUUUAAUUCGAAUAUUUUUU
rnacentral:sRNA from 1 species